rnacentral:tRNA from 1 species
GGAGAAGUACUCAAGUGGCUAAAGAGGUGCCCCUGCUAAGGGUAUAGGCCGGGAAACCGGUGCGAGGGUUCAAAUCCCUCCUUCUCCGCCA